UAGCUCACUGGUCGAGUCGGCCUGCGCGGAAGAUGUAACGGGGCUAAACCAUGCACCGAAGCUGCGGCAGCGACGCUGAUGCGUUGUUGGGUAGGGGAGCGUUCUGUAAGCCUGCGAAGGUGUGCUGUGAGGCAUGCUGGAGGUAUCAGAAGUGCGAAUGCUGACAUAAGUAACGAUAAAGCGGGUGAAAAGCCCGCUCGCCGGAAGACC
rnacentral:rRNA from 1 species